UGGCAUUUGGCAUCGACGCCUUGGUCAUUUGAAUGCCAAGAGCAUGAAGGAGCUCCAAUCCAUGGUAAGUGGCUUAGAUCUUGGUCAUAUAAGCCACAAUGCUAUGACACUUGCUUGUGAAGGUUGUAUUCAAGGCAAACAACAAAGGGCCUCAUUUCCAAGUGGAAUUGCAACACAUUGUCGUAAUACGUGAAGUCUUGCUUGAUAAUGCUCCGAGUACUUGGCUAUAGAAGGAAGAAUGGAAAUUGCAAUAACAAAAUCUUAAUUCUAAUAGAAUACUAAUAAUGCUCUAAUUAGACCAUAAUAAUGCUAAGCAAGUAUAAUCAAAUUCAAAAAAACCUCAAAGAAAUAUUAAAAAAAAUACAAAUGUCAUUCAAAUACAUUUCAAUUCAAUCUUAAUUUAAUUCUAAGUAAAAUCCUAUGAACUUCAUUCAAACUUUAGGCCAAAACUAAGUGAAUCUUAAAUCCUAAUAAAAUCUCAAAUCCUAAAUCAAACCCUAUUCAAAUCCUAAACCCUAAAUCAAAUCCUAAUCCAAAUCCUAA
rnacentral:lncRNA from 1 species